GACGAACGCUGGCGGCGUGCUUAACACAUGCAAGUCGAACGGAAGGGCCUGCUUUCCCUUGUGGAUUGCGGGUACUCGAGUGGCGAACGGGUGAGUACAACGUGAGUGAUCUUCUCCCAACUUGGGUAUAAGCCUGGGAUACUGGGUCUAAUUCCCGAUAGGACUGCAGGGUGGUGGCUGUGGUGGAACACGAUUUUCUAGUGGUUGGGGAUGAGCUCGCGGCCUAUCAGCUUGUUGGUGGGGUAAUGGCCUACCAAGGCGGCGACGGGUAGCCGGCCUGAGAGGGUGGACGGCGACAUUGGGACUGGGAUACGGCCCAGACUCCUACGGGAGGCAGCAGUGGGGAAUAUAGCACAAUGGGCGGAAGCCUGAUGCAGCGACGCCGCGUGGGGGAUGACGGCCUUCGGGUUGUAAACUCCUUUCGACCGAGAGGAAGCCACCUGGUUGGAAGGGUGGUGACGGUAGUGGAAGAAGAAGCACCGGCUAACUACGUG
rnacentral:rRNA from 1 species